GAUGAACGCUGGCGGCGUGCCUAAUACAUGCAAGUCGAACGAUGAAGCCGGAGCUUGCUCUGGUGAAUUAGUGGCGAACGGGUGAGUAACACGUGAGUAACCUGCCCUUGACUCUGGGAUAACUGCUAGAAAUGGUAGCUAAUACCGGAUACGACCCUCGGAGGCAUCUCCAGGGGGUGGAAAGAAUUUCGGUCAAGGAUGGACUCGCGGCCUAUCAGCUAGUUGGUGAGGUAAUGGCUCACCAAGGCGACGACGGGUAGCCGGCCUGAGAGGGGGACGGGCCACACUGGGACUGGGACACGGCCCAGACUCCAACGGGAGGCAGCAGUGGGGAAUAUUGCCCAAUGGGCGCAAGCCUGAUGCAGCAACGCCGCGGGAGGGAUGACGGCCUUCGGGUUGUAAACCUCUUUGAGUAGGGAAGAGGCGAAAGUGACGGUCCCUGCAGAAAAAGCACCGGCUAACUACGUGCCAGCAGCCGCAGUAA
rnacentral:rRNA from 1 species